rnacentral:rRNA from 1 species
AUUGAACGCUGGCGGCAGGCCUAACACAUGCAAGUCGAGCGGAUGAAGGGAGCUUGCUCCUGGAUUCAGCGGCGGACGGGUGAGUAAUGCCUAGGAAUCUGCCUGGUAGUGGGGGAUAACGUCCGGAGACGGGCGCUAAUACCGCAUACGUCCUGAGGGAGAAAGUGGGGGAUCUACGGACCUCACGCUAUCAGAUGAGCCUAGGUCGGAUUAGCUAGUUGGUGGGGUAAAGGCCUACCAAGGCGACGAUCCGUAACUGGUCUGAGAGGAUGAUCAGUCACACUGGAACUGAGACACGGUCCAGACUCCUACGGGAGGCAGCAGUGGGGAAUAUUGGACAAUGGGCGAAAGCCUGAUCCAGCCAUGCCGCGUGUGUGAAGAAGGUCUUCGGAUUGUAAAGCACUUUAAGUUGGGAGGAAGGGCAGUAAGUUAAUACCUUGCUGUUUUGACGUUACCAACAGAAUAAGCACCGGCUAACUUCGUG